rnacentral:rRNA from 1 species
CGCGUAGGCGGUCUUUUAAGUCUUGUGUGAAAUCCCUCGGCUCAACUGAGGAACUGCACGGGAUACUGGAAGACUUGAGUUCGGGAGAGGGAAGCGGAAUUCCGGGUGUAGCGGUGAAAUGCGUAGAUAUCCGGAGGAACACCGGUGGCGAAGGCGGCUUCCUGGACCGAUCACUGACGCUGAGGCGCGAAAGCUAGGGGAGCAAACG